rnacentral:rRNA from 1 species
AUUGAACGCUGGCGGCAGGCUUAACACAUGAAAGUCGAGCGGGGGAAGGUAGCUUGCUACCGGACCUAGCGGCGGACGGGUGAGUAAUGCUUAGGAAUCUGCCUAUUAGUGGGGGACAACAUCUCGAAAGGGAUGCUAAUACCGCAUACGUCCUACGGGAGAAAGCAGGGGAUCUUCGGUCCUUGCGCUAAUACCUGACGCUAAGUCGGUUUAGCUAGUUGGUGGGUUACAGGCCUACCAAGGCUACGAUCUGUAGCGGGUCUGAGAGGAUGAUCCGCCACACUGGGACUGAGACACGUCCCAGACUCCUACGGGAGGCAGCAGUGGGGAAUAUUGGACAAUGGGGUGAACCCUGAUCCAGCCAUGCCGCGUGUGUGAAGAAGGCCUUAUGGUUGUAAAGCACUUUAAGCGAGGAGGAGGCUACUCUAGUUAAUACCUAGGGAUAGUGGACGUUACUCGCAGAAUAAGCACCGGCUAACUCUGUGCCAGCCGCCGCCGUAA